rnacentral:tRNA from 8 species
GGCGACAUGGCCAAGUGGUAAGGCAGAAGCCUGCAAAGCUUUUACCCCCGGUUCGAAUCCGGGUGUCGCCU